AAUAUCAAUAAGCGGAGGAAAAAGAAACCAACCAGGGAUUGCCUUAGUAGCGGCGAGUGAAGCGGCAAAAGCUCAAAUUUGAAAUCUGGCUCUUUCAGAGUCCGAGUUGUAAUUUGAAGAAGGUAUCUUUGGGUCUGGCUCUUGUCUAUGUUUCUUGGAACAGAACGUCACAGAGGGUGAGAAUCCCGUGCGAUGAGAUGAUCCAGGCCUAUGUAAAGUUCCUUCGAAGAGUCGAGUUGUUUGGGAAUGCAGCUCUAAGUGGGUGGUAAAUUCCAUCUAAAGCUAAAUAUUGGCGAGAGACCGAUAGCGAACAAGUACAGUGAUGGAAAGAUGAAAAGAACUUUGAAAAGAGAGUGAAAAAGUACGUGAAAUUGUUGAAAGGGAAGGGCUUGAGAUCAGACUUGGUAUUUUGUAUGUUACUUCUUCGGGGGUGGCCUCUACAGUUUAUCGGGCCAGCAUCAGUUUGGGCGGUAGGAGAAUUGCGUUGGAAUGUGGCACGGCUUCGGUUGUGUGUUAUAGCCUUCGUCGAUACUGCCAGCCUAGACUGAGGACUGCGGUUUAUACCUAGGAUGUUGGC
rnacentral:rRNA from 1 species